rnacentral:rRNA from 1 species
UACGUAGGGGGCAAGCGUUGUCCGGAAUCAUUGGGCGUAAAGAGCGUGUAGGCGGUUCGAUAAGUCUGCUGUGAAAGUCCAGGGCUCAACCCUGGGAUGCCGGUGGAUACUGUCGAGCUAGAGUACGGAAGAGGCGAGUGGAAUUCCCGGUGUAGCGGUGAAAUGCGUAGAUAUCGUAAGGAAGACCAGUGGCGAAGGCGGGUCUCUGGACAGUUCCUGACGCUGAGGCACGAAGGCCAGGGGAGCAAACGGG